CGGCGGCGGCGGCGGCGGCGAACGCGAAGCCGCGUCCGAGCAGAGCUGCAGCGUCUGCCGCGGGCACCGGAGUGCCGAGCCCAGGACGCCCGGCCCAGGCCCGCGGAGUGGACAAAUCCUUCACCCCUCGCCGAAGUGUGUGGAGGAGUGAUGGGCAGAACCAGCGCUUCCCUCAGGCAUUAGACCUGCCACGCGCGGACUUGGUUCCCCCCCAUCCUGCUUCACUCUACCCUAAGCCCAGCUUCACAGCCUGUCCCAAGAAUCCCUGAGGCGGGGUAGCCAGAGUCCGGGAAGAUAGAGAAGGCGAGAACACAGAGCUGUUUGAGAUGAUUGAGAAGAUGCAGGGAAGCAGGAUGGAUGAACAGCGAUGCUCCUUCCCACCACCCCUCAAAACGGAGGAGGACUACAUUCCCUACCCGAGCGUCCACGAGGUCCUAGGGCGAGAAGGACCUUUCCCCCUCAUCCUGUUGCCCCAGUUCGGGGGCUACUGGAUCGAAGGCACCAACCACGAAAUCACCAGCAUCCCGGAGACGGAGCCGCUACAGUCACCCACGACCAAGGUGAAGCUCGAGUGUAACCCCACAGCCCGCAUCUACCGGAAGCACUUUCUUGGCAAGGAGCAUUUUAAUUACUACUCACUGGACACUGCCCUGGGCCACCUUGUCUUCUCGCUGAAGUAUGACGUCAUUGGGGACCAAGAGCAUCUCCGGCUACUGCUCAGGACCAAGUGCCGGACACACCAUGAUGUCAUCCCUAUCUCCUGCCUCACUGAGUUCCCCAAUGUGGUCCAGAUGGCAAAGCUGGUGUGUGAAGAUGUGAACGUGGACCGGUUUUACCCUGUGCUCUACCCCAAGGCUUCCCGGCUCAUCGUCACCUUUGACGAGCAUGUUAUCAGCAAUAACUUCAAGUUUGGAGUCAUUUAUCAGAAGCUUGGGCAGACCUCUGAGGAAGAGCUCUUCAGCACCAAUGAGGAAAGCCCCGCCUUCGUGGAGUUUCUCGAAUUUCUGGGCCAGAAGGUCAAACUGCAGGACUUUAAAGGGUUCCGAGGAGGCCUGGACGUGACCCACGGGCAGACGGGGACCGAGUCUGUGUACUGCAACUUCCGCAACAAGGAGAUCAUGUUUCACGUGUCCACCAAGCUGCCCUACACAGAAGGGGACGCCCAGCAGUUGCAGCGGAAGCGGCAUAUCGGGAACGACAUUGUCGCUGUCGUCUUCCAGGACGAGAACACACCCUUUGUGCCUGACAUGAUUGCAUCCAACUUCCUACAUGCCUAUGUGGUGGUACAGGCCGAGGGCGGGGGGCCGGAUGGCCCGCUCUACAAGGUCUCUGUCACUGCUAGAGACGACGUGCCCUUCUUUGGGCCCCCCCUCCCGGACCCCGCUGUGUUCAGGAAGGGGCCCGAGUUCCAGGAAUUUCUGCUGACAAAGCUGAUCAAUGCUGAAUAUGCCUGCUACAAGGCAGAGAAGUUUGCCAAACUGGAGGAGCGGACACGCACCGCCCUCCUGGAGACGCUCUAUGAGGAACUGCACAUCCACAGCCAGUCCAUGAUGGGCCUGGGCGGUGACGAGGACAAGAUGGAGAACGGCGGCGGCGGAGGCGGCUUCUUCGAGUCUUUUAAGCGGGCCAUCCGAAGCCGCAGCCAGUCCAUGGAUGCCAUGGGACUAAGCAACAAGAAGCCCAACACCGUGUCCACCAGCCACAGUGGGAGCUUUGCCCCCAACAACCCCGACCUGGCCAAGGCAGCUGGAAUAUCAUUGCUUAUUCCCGGGAAAAGCGCGAGUAGAUUCGGACGCCGGGGCAGUGCCAUAGGCAUAGGAACCGUGGAAGAGUCACUGAUCGUCCCUGGAAAGAGCCCCACAAGGAAGAAGUCGGGCCCGUUCGGCUCACGCCGCAGCAGUGCCAUCGGAAUCGAAAACAUCCAGGAGGUGCAGGAGAAAAGGCCCAGUGCUGAAUCCCCCCACUGCCCCCGUGUGCCCCGCAGGGAGAGUCCCCCCGCCGGCCAGAAGACCCCAGACAGCGGGCACGCCUCACAGGAGCCCAAGUCGGAGAACUCAUCCACUCAGAGCUCUCCAGAGAUGCCCACGACCAAGAACAGAGCGGAGACGACAGCCCAGAGGGCGGAAGUGCUGAAGGACUUCUCCCGCUCCUCGAGCAGCGCCAGCAGCUUCGCCAGCGUGGUGGAGGAGACCGAGGGUGGGGACGCGGACGACACAGGCCUGGAGAGCGUCUCUUCCUCAGGGACGCCUCACAAACGGGACUCCUUCAUCUACAGCACAUGGCUGGAGGAUAGCGUCAGCACCACGAGUGGGGGCAGCUCUCCAGUGAGGUGGCUCCCUCCUGCCCCCCUCCCCAGGCCCCUCACGGUCACCCCAUCCCGACGCCGGCAAGUCGGGGGACCCUGCGUGUCCCGAGAUCAAGAUCCAGCUGGAGGCGUCUGAGCAUCACACAUCCCAGCUGGGCUGUUAGCCAGGCUCCCGUUCUGAAGGUGACACUGAGCAGAUGAGGUCGCAGAAGCACAAGGUGAAGAUGCUGUGUCAAGUCCAGGUGGCUAGGCCCUCUGCCCCCAAGGCCAGCACCAGCCUGUGGGCUGUCCCCUGCCCCCACCUUGGCCACCCGUCUGGGCUGUCUCUGCAGGGCGGAGCCAUCCAGACCUGGGAGGGGGAAGCUGCUGGCAUCAUCCCAACCCCCCGAGGCUGGGGCAGGCCGUGAUCAGUUGAAGCAGAACCCCAGGCCUGGCUUGCCCCCACCCCGGGCCCUUCAUCACACCUGGGUGCCCCUCUGGACUCAUGGGGAGCAGGAUGGGAGGGGAGGACUGACCUAUCUCCGUGCGUACACAGCCUACUGUGGAGGCAGUGGGAUGUGAAAUCUGGGGGAAUGAGCGCUGGGCUGGGAGUCCUGAGUCCUGGCUUCCAAUUUUGGUUCUGCUGUGUGACUUUGGGCAAGUCCCCAUCCCUCUCUGGGUACCUCUGCUGCAAAUGGACAAGAUUAUUUCAGAGGUCAUUGAAGACUGUGAUUCCAUGCACCUGCCCCAGAAUGGGGGCUAUCCUCCUAGGGGCCCCCAUCACCCUACCUUGCUUCUUGGGUUCCCUGGGACCCCAGGUGGGCUGAAGGGCUGGGAGCUGGCUAUGCCCAUUGCCCCUCAUGGACCCUCGAGCUCUACCACAGGUCCUGUCCACUGCCUCCACCUGACAGACAAGUGGCCCCCUGAGGGGGGUGGACCCAUCUAGCUCCUCAGCCAGCACCCAGCUUAACCCCUGCCAUCCCAUGCUCUGGGCACCCCAGGUUGAGGGGUCUCAGCUGGCCUAGAGUUAUGGGCCUUGCCUUUGCGCCCCCCCCACCCAACUCCCAGGGAGGGGGCAGCCAGGCCCAGCUGCUGUGAGUCCACAUCCUUGUGUGUGUCUGUCCACACUUUUUAGGCACCACACCAAAGGCCAGCCUUCCGGCCCCAACACCCAUUUUGGAAGCCCCCGUGGCUGUGUGUAUGUCAGUAACAGUUGUAUAAAAUAAAUUCUAUUUAUCGCUAUUGUA